GAUGAACGCUGGCGGCGUGCUUAACACAUGCAAGUCGAACGAAGCACUUUAUUUGAUUUCCUUCGGGACUGAUUAUUUUGUGACUGAGUGGCGGACGGGUGAGUAACGCGUGGGUAACCUGCCUUGUACAGGGGGAUAACAGUUGGAAACGGCUGCUAAUACCGCAUAAGCGCACAGCAUCGCAUGAUGCAGUGGGAAAAACUCGGGUGGUUUAAGAUGGAGCCGCGUUGGAUUAGCUAGGUGGUGAGGUAACGGCCCACCAAGGCGAGGAUCCAUAGCCGAGCUGAGAGGGUGAGCGGCCACAUUGGGACUGAGACACGGCCCGAACUCCUACGGGAGGCAGCAGUGGGGAAUAUUGCACAAUGGGCGAAAGCCUGAAGCAGCGACGCCGCGUGAGCGAAGAAGUAUUUCGGUAUGUAAAGCUCUAUCAGCAGGGAAGAUAAUGACGGUACCUGACGAAGAAGCACCGGCUAAAUACGUG
rnacentral:rRNA from 1 species